CAACAAAUUCCCACAGACGACCAUGUCUGACCCUUCAGGUUCUGCUCCAGCGUCUGGGCAGGUCCAGCUCUGAGCUUCCCCCAAACUCCAACUCAUUCACAUUCUCCUGAGCUGGAACCACUCCGACCUGGGGUAAGAAUGCUGGGUGAAAUUCUAGAUGAUCUGAAGCCUUACCACUGACUUGCUAUAUGAUUUGGGCCAAGCUAAUCUCUCUGAGCUGCAAAUCAUCUGGAAAGGUGAUAUUAACUUAUUUUACGUAAACCCCACAUUCUUAAAGGUAUACAAUAAGUUAAUGUU
rnacentral:lncRNA from 1 species